UUUUGAAAACUACGAGAAUCCCCCAAGGAAUGUCCCAUUCAUAACCAUUGUUUAAACGGGAGAGUGGCCGUGUGUUUAUUGAAUUGCAAACAAUAUAGAUAGCCUUAGCAUAUAAUUAGUUUCACUUGGGUAUUUACCAGUAACCACUAAUAAAAGGGCUUCAGUCAUUACCUGUGUUAGGAAAUGUUAAUAACCUGCAUAUAGUCAAGCCUGAUGUUCUGUUUGGUGAACAUUACAUAAAGUAAAGUUCAUAUAUAAAACAAACAAUUUCAGUUUAAAACAAAUCAAUUAUGUUGUCUAAAAAUCUCUGCAUUGCUGCUGUUUUAGUAGUAGUGUUUCAAACGACGUUUGUGGCCGCCAACAUAAUUUUCUCGAGCCGGAUUACAGAUUUAGGAACGCGAUCUCCCCAAGACCGCUCAUCUAUUUCUACUUUUACGACAGGAAUGGUGAUAAACCCACAUAAUAUAGCGAGCAAGGGUAUUAUUAAUGAAAAUAAAGGCAAGAAAUGUUCCUGUAUCUGCCGAAGAAAUGGAUUAGGUUGAUCGUGUUAGUAUUUAGUUAGUUAGUAAGUUAAUACAGCUUUUGUUCUCUUUUAAAAUAAGUAAGUACCCACUCAUUUAUUUUUUAAGCAGUUUGUUUUAAAAACAUUUUUUAAUUUAGUUGAUUAAUAAUUUAGCUUAGGUUGAUUUUAUAUAAUUGCUAAAAAAGAUGUAGUAUAAAAAAAUGGUAUGCGUCACGGAACGCUCGACAGAAGUGAUAACUUCAUAAAUUAAUAGAAACC